rnacentral:ncRNA from 1 species
GGGGUAGUAUGCACGCAAGUGUGAAACUUGAAGGAAUUGACGGAAGGGCACCACAAGAACGCGUGGAGCAUGUGGCUUAAUUUGACUCAACGCGGGAAAUCUUACCGGGUCCGGACACACUGAGGAUUGACAGAUAUAUACCCCGUGAUUUUAUCGCGGGGUUGAAAGAUGCUAGUUCUUUCAUGAUUAUGUGAUAGGUGGUGCAUGGCCGUUCUU